AGGAAAUUAGUUAAAUUAUAACGUUAAUUUGUCAAAUUAAAAUUACUUUAGUAUUUUCUG
rnacentral:tRNA from 1 species